rnacentral:rRNA from 1 species
AUUGAACGCUGGCGGUAGGCCUAACACAUGCAAGUCGAACGGCAGCACAGGAGAGCUUGCUCUCUGGGUGGCGAGUGGCGGACGGGGGAGGAAUACAUCGGAAUCUACUCUGUCGUGGGGGAUAACGUAGGGAAACUUACGCUAAUACCGCAUACGACCUACGGGUGAAAGCAGGGGACCUUCGGGCCUUGCGCAAUUGAAUGAGCCGAUGUCGGAUUAGCUAGUUGGCGGGGUAAAGGCCCACCAAGGCGACGAUCCGUAGCUGGUCUGAGAGGAUGAUCAGCCACACUGGAACUGAGACACGGUCCAGACUCCUACGGGAGGCAGCAGUGGGGAAUAUUGGACAAUGGGCGCAAGCCUGAUCCAGCCAUACCGCGUGGGUGAAGAAGGCCUUCGGGUUGUAAAGCCCUUUUGUUGGGAAAGAAAUCCAGCUGGCUAAUACCCGGUUGGGAUGACGGUACCCAAAGAAUAAGCACCGGCUAACUUCGUGCCAGCAGCCGCAGUAA